rnacentral:lncRNA from 1 species
AAACCAGACAGUCACGAAUACUGUUUGGAGCCAUUGAGGUGCAGCUGACCGAAGAAGCACAACGACUCUCACAAAUGGUGCAACACAACACCUGGCUGGAGCUGAAAAAUGCUCUAAUAGACGAAUUCAAGAACCACACACCAUACGAAGAACUUCUGCGACAAAUCUACUUCACAAAAUUCAAAUAAAUAAUAAAAUUUGUGAAGGUUGCAGACCAAAAAUAAAAUUUAGAAUGCCUGUACUAAAAUUGUAUUAAGACAAUUUUUUUGGGAACAGUCUUUCUUAUUUUAUCGCAACAAUAUUGACCCUUCCCCACUGUACGUGCGUUUCAGAGAACUGCAUGCAAGAUCAGAAGCUUUUAUCUCGAAAAGCUCUAUAUCUCUUUCUCUCUCUCUCUCUCGAACAUUGCACGUGCACGCGCCGUUCACAUGCAAGCUUUUCUCUCCGCAAGCAUAGCUUACGGCACUAACCAAAUAGUAUACUAUUUGGUUAGUGCUUACGGCCAUAAAGCAACUAUAUAAGGAGGCCUUGUCGGUGGCAGAGUUACUCGCUGCGUUACCCAAUUCCCAGUGCACGUUUGCUUGUCGACGCGGAACGUUGGUUGCGGACAACAUUUUUUUUUCAAUAUUUUUUUAAAUGUUUAUUUUUUUAGAACACAGGCUACUAUUAUGUAGCAAACUAUUAAAAAUUAAACUAUGAAACAAUUAUAAUGUUUUUUCACAUUGCCUUCAAAUGAUUAAUCAGCACACUCCAUUGUCGUUGCCCUCACACUUACAGCGAGAGCCCUUCCACUCGCACUUUCACUCGCACCAGCCUAUAAUUUUUUCCGACGAGACCUCCUUAUAUAGUUGCUUUAUGCUUACGGCUAGCCCUUUGUGAAGGUUGCAGACCAAAAACAAAAGGUUAGAAUGUUUGUUUGUUUUUGGGGAACAGUCUUCUAAUUUUAUCAAGAAAAUAUUGAACCUCCCCCACUGUACGCAUUCCAGCGAGAGCCCACAUGCUAGAUCAGAAGCUGUUAUCUUGAAAAGCUCUCUCUUUCGAAAUUGCAUGUGCGAGCACCGUUCACAUGUGAGCUUUUCUCUCUUCAAACAUACGGCUAGCUUACGGCUAGCCCUUCGAGAACCGUCUUAGCUCUCUCAUACACAGCUUUUGGAGGGGUAAAAUAGUUAGGAUAAGUGCAUGCUGCACAGAACAAAAAUUGCAUUCAAGGUUUGAAGACUUAAUUGAUGUGCGUGUAGAAAAUAUACAAAAACAAAAAAAAACGUGGUGAAAAGUUUGCAAAACCAUAAAAGGGAACAUAACCC